UUUAAUAGUGAGUCAGGAACACCUGGCUGUUGCCAGGUAACCGUGGGGCGGAGCCUAGACUAAAUGCCAACAGGUGUGCUCUCUACCCCGCCUCCGCUGAGCGUCCUUAGGGAGGCCUGUUGUCAAAACACAGGGAAGAUGUCCCAUCAAGCACAGUUCAACAUGUACUGAUAACUCGUACCACCACACAGAAUGAACAAAUGUUCAUCUUUCCACAUUUGUUCUUGAGUGUUCUUUUAGGAAACUUGGAGAGAGUUGGCAUCAUGCCCGGGCCUCACAUCGACUAAGGUGGAGAAAGAUUGAGAAAGAGCAGUAGCAACGCGGGUCUCCGUGUGCGCAUGCGCACACGUGCACAAGCGCACGGACAGGUACCUUCAAACAACAAAGAAGCUCUGAAGCAGGCCUGGAGGACCGGAGGAGCCAAGUCACCUCAGUAUCCAUCAGCUAUGCAACUCCAGCUAGACAGUCAUUUUACCCUGUUAGACGGAGAGCUGUAAUCCCAGAGCAUUGGAAAGCUGAGGCAGGAGACUGCGGAUUGUAGACCUGCUUGGGCUAUGUGGUUGAAUUCAAGGCCAGCUUGGGUAACCUACUGAGGGCCUGGCUCAUGAAAGGUGAAAAAGAUUUGGUUCAGUGUUUGCCUACCUAGCCUUGGCAAGUGCCUGGAUUCAUUCACUGGUAUUGUAAAAGAAAAUAAGCAAAACAAACACAAAAGGAAAGAAAAGAAAGGAAACUAAGGCACACACACACAUACACACCAGAUAUACACACAUACAUACAUACAUACACACACACAUGCCAGAUGCACACACCACACACACACACACACACACACACACACACACACACACACACACACCAGACACACGCACAGGGCAUACACAUGCAAGACACACAUGUGCACACACCAGACACACACAUACACUAGACAUACACAUACACACCAGACACACUCACACAUCUAUCUUUCUGGGCAUGGUUGGGAUAACAGCUGUUGUGCCACUGAACCGAGUGGAGCGGGCUGGCAUCGGGAAGGGACUGGAAGCUCUUUUGGGCUAUGAGAUCAAAGCACUUGGGAGCAAGCGAAGGUAUUAGAGAGAGGCAGAAGUAAUUAACAGGCAGGCCCUGUGGGGCAGGAGGGAGGGAUUGAGGGCAGGCUGAAAGCAGAGGCAGGAGGUGGAGAUGCUCUGUGGCACAGGUGAUAAGGGACAGCUUGCCACUCAGCCCUCCCACCCCUGCCCACCCCACCUCCUCGCUGUCCAGGUAGCUGGGGGCCAUUAUUAGCACCAGGCCCCCAGUAGGUUUUCCAAAAACAGCUGCUGGGUAGAGGUGGGAGGGAAGGCAGCCAGGCGGCUCCCAUCACUAACCAGGUGGGUGGCGGGGGGGGGGGGGCAGAGAUGGAGUGAGAGGGACAGAAACUUUAGCACGAGCUCUUGAUUCAAGGCUCAUCUGGGUCCUAGUGGUUAGGAUACCUAUAAAAGUCACAUUGGGUAGCUGGACAUUUGAGCCUGACUUUGGGGGCCUGGAUCAUGUGUGGAAAUGUUGCUACCGGCUUCUAAUGCCAGAACACUGAGGCUGUUUCUGCUCUUUUUUUUUUUUUUUUUUUUUUUUUUUUUUGGUUCUUUUUUUCCGGAGCUGGGGACCGAACCCAGGGCCUUGCACUUCCUAGGCAAGCGCUCUGCCACUGAGCCAAAUCCCCAACCCCUGUUUCUGCUCUUAAGAAAAGCCAUCGGUCGGAAACACAGUAGAACUGCCAGAGCAGAGUAGCCAUUCCUGAAAUGGCCUUAAACCUGCCUGAGGGCCAGCAAGCCGGGGGCUCGGUGGUGAAGAGUCUGCUCCCAAGCCUUAAGGAUUGUCUGAGGGUGACCCCAGGCCAUAUUGGUGGGAGGAAGGAACCAGUUCCUACACGUUGUCCUCUGACCUGGUAAGUGUAGGCAUUAUCAUCAGCAUCAACAGUAAGUAAUUACAAGUGAUUAAUUUGUAACUUAAUUUACAUGGCAGGAAGUUCUCCAGAUCUUCCGUCCAGCACAGUGCCAGGGUCGCCACAGCAGAAGUCAAGCCACGGCAUGUGUUAGGCAUGCAGACCGCAGGCCACACUUCACCACAGCCUCAGGUGGGAGUGUGAGGAGAUUCAUGAACGAUGUGUCUGAGACCCCAGGGUAUCCAGACCCACAACCACACCACACUCACUGAACUGCACACACUAAAUGCAGGCAGGGCUUGGCACACUGAUUAUGCCUGGAUAAUGCUGAUUUUUUUUUAAACUAGCAAGUGGCAAAGAUAACAUUUUAGAGUAUUUGAACAGCUGCUGGAGAAAGUGCUUAGCCAGUGGCUCCAGAUCAACAAAACAGCUCUCUCCUCCCUCCUCCCUCCCCUCCCUUCCUCCUGUCA